rnacentral:lncRNA from 1 species
CUCUCUGGGCUAUGUGCCUUGUACUGUGCUCCCUUCUCAUUCUUCAGACGCUCUUCCCAUUUGCCUUUAGGUCAAAAUAAUCCUUAUGCCAAAGUGGCAUAUUUCACGGUGGUAUAUUAUAAUCCCCUUAAUUUCCUAAGGGGAAAUCAAAGUUCAAGUGCUCUGGUAAAGAUACUGGUUCCCAAAUUACUGUGUUUUGCAGUUAGUUCUCUAAGGUGUCUUAAAAAAAAAAAUUCUAUUGUCAAGUUUGGGAAAUGCUUGGUUAAACAGUUAAGCAUGAUUUUUUUUUCUCUAGCAGUUCUCAGAAUCUUUAAUUAACUAACAAAGCAAUGUGAUUCUGCAAAAAGAGUAAUUCGUUGUGUUCCCCAAGCUUCUUUGACCAUGGACCAUGUUUUUCAGGAGUUUUCAAGACUAGUGUUUUCCGGUAAUAUAUGUUGAGAAGUGAUGGGAUUAGCCACCCUUGUAUGUAAGUACAGAAUUUUGAGCAGCUGUUGAAAUAAGUAUAAGCCAAAUUGAGUAAAGGUGGCACAGUAUCAGCAGUAACCAUGCUACAUUCUGAGUCAUGCUUCAGGGGACUAGGCUCUGAUUUUCCCCUGGGAAGAAAAACCAGUGUCCAGAACUUCUGGAUCCUACUGAAUUAAAACCCCUUCUCGGGCACUAAAGAGUAUCAAUGGAUGAAGGAAAAAUGAUCUCGUGUUCAUUUCCAUCCUUGGCUCAGUACAGCUCGUUGCAUUAUUCUUAAACAUCUAUUAACACGAUUGCUUUGUAAUUACAAAGGCUAACUGCCAAGUCUUUUUCACAGGAAGCAAGGCACUGCUUGUCUUUAACUGCUCUUCUGGCUCAUGCAAAAGUGUCAGCUUUAAAGAAAUUUUUUUUUAAAUCCUAUGUUAACUGAAGAAACAACUCUAAAAUGUCAUUUGAGUGACUGUAAGAUAAAAAGGAAAAAAGCACAUUCAAGGUACAAAGCUAACUAAAUGCAACCAUUAGAUGAUUUGGGGUGUGUGUGUGUGGGGUGCGGGAUUCAGAACUGAUGGGAGUCAUCAGAAGUGUGAUAGUACCUAGCGCCUUCCCCUCUGGUUAUCUUGUUUUGUCAGAAUUUUAAUUUCAGCAGAGACCAUCCUCAAUACUGUGAUCGACUGAUUCAGAUUCUCAACCAGUAGACUUGAUCCUUGAUCCUCAACUGUCCAACUGCUGCCACAUGUCCUCUUCUUCAGCAGCUUUCAGGUUCUCAGAGUACAGGCAAAGCUAAGCACCCAGGCCGAGGACUGGUUGGUAAUAUCCUAUAUUGUCUCAAGGAUUUGGGAAAAAAAUGGAGACAGAAGGACUAACAUCUACUGAGCACCCACGUGCCAGGUAUUUUCACAAAUGUUACCUCAUUAAUAAAUAGAUUUUUUUCCAAUUUUGAGAAUAAAGAAAACUGGGGCUUAAAAAGGUUAUAAAAUGUAUCUAAGGUCAAACCAAAUGCUGAUGAGCAAAUGAAGUAAAAUUUGAGCCAGGUCCAAGUCCAGGGUCUGCUUUACAAUAUUAUGCUGUUUCCUGAUCAUAAAAAACUCCAUUUAUAUAGGAGCAUGAAUGACCCACUUAUGCCAUUUUUCUCAAUAUCUAGUGCAACAUCUCAAUUUUUAUCAUCACAC